rnacentral:rRNA from 1 species
UACGAAGGGGGCUAGCGUUGCUCGGAAUCACUGGGCGUAAAGGGCGCGUGGGCGGACUCUUAAGUCAGGGGUGAAAGCCUGAGGCUCAACCUCAGAACUGCCUUUGAUACUGAGAGUCUCGAGACCGGUAGAGGUAAGUGGAACUGCGAGUGUAGAGGUGAAAUUCGUAGAUAUUCGCAAGAACACCAGUGGCGAAGGCGGCUUACUGGACCGGUUCUGACGCUGAGGCGCGAAAGCGUGGGGAGCAAACAGG